AGAAAUAUGAUCUGACUUUUAUUUUUAAGAAGGGGUUUUGUCUGCCCCACAGUGAGUAGAUUGAAAGAGAGGCAAGAGUAAAAAUGGAAAGACCAGCAAAGAAGCUACCAGUUAGCCAUGGCAAGAAGAGAUAUGUCUAAUUUUAAGGUAUGUGAAAAUUGAGUCCUGAAAGGACCUGCCCAAGGUUAUAGAGAGUGAGCGGAAGGGCCAGGACUCUAAGGUGUGCCCGCUCCUAGUCCUAAACAUAAAUGCCUUUUCUGUGACAAAGAGGAUGAAUUCCCACAUCUCUGAAAAAAUAAAAAUUGAGAAGUGAAAGAGUGGUUCUCAACAGAAAGCCAGAAGUGCAAGACAGAAAGUUUAGUAUCAUUGUUCUUUUGCAACUGAAGAUAUCGAUAGCAUGCAUAUAACUGGAGGGAAAAACCAACACAUCGUACGCAUCUGCACAGCCCUUUUUCAAUCUGCUCAUGGUAAUAGUUCAAAGGACUUUCAUCACUGUCAGCUACCUCCUAAGGGGCAAGUAUUAAUACCACACAGAGGUAGGUCCUAACAUUUCUGUUGCUCACCGCUUCUUGGAUCCUCUCCCAUUCAGCUUUGCCCAGAGCAGUUCAGAAAAGCUGGAUUGUAGUAGCUUAGUUUUACAAACAAUUAAAUGACAAGUCUCCUUUAUUUAUGAGCCUGAAAUACUAUUUCACGUUUCAGUGAUUUUAAGCAAUUCAGGGGAUAAAGGUACUUUAGCAGUAGUAUCUAUUAUGAUAUUCUUUUAAAAACUAAGUUCAUAGUUUGUAGAAUUAAAACAUGAGGUAGAAUUUGAAGAUAG